GAACGCAUAUUGCACUUUCUGGUAUUCCGGAAAGUAUGCCUGUUUUUGAGGGUCAGUUAAAUAAAAAUCGGUGUUGUUGCUGCCUUUCGUGGUGACGCGUCGGAGUUGAGUCGUCUUACCUUUGGUUAAGUGACUUAAAAUUUUGUAUGAUUUUCGAACGUAUUUAAAUUUGUACGUAAGAUAUCGAAUAUUUAUUAGGUUCGGUUAUCCUCAUGACUCGCGCCUAUAAUUUUCAUUAAAUGACCUCAAAUCAGGUAAGAAUACCCGCUGAACUUAAG
rnacentral:misc_RNA from 1 species